AAAAUGUAAGACCUUCCUGGGCACCUCUGCUACAGCCUGGGUUUGCACAGGCUGAGCAGGACAUGGAUGAUUGAAGCCAGGGUGCAGGAUGGCUUGAGCUGGGACAUGGUGUCUGGGCACUGAGAAGGGAGCAGGGCACGUGGGAGCAGUUCCUGUUUCCCUCCCCUGAAAGGAUUUGAUACACAAAGUGAGAGCUUUGGUCACCAAGGCAUGUUGUGAUCAUUCCAGGCUCCAACACAACAGUGUGCCAAGCCUACCUGCACCUCCCAGUGAUGUGGUCCCAACGCUGAGCUGGUGCUGGCAGAGAGGUUCAGGUUGAACCCACUCAACCUGGUGUGCAGCCAAGGAGUCUAUUUGAAUAUCUCCAUCAGCUGCCAUGGAGCUACUUCAGAUUAACAGCAACGUAACACCAACGUCAGGACCUGGAUCUUCCAGAGAAUCCCGCUGAUCUUACAUCAUUGCAAUAGCUGAUUUAAAAUCACAUUUCCUCGGCUUGAGAAGCUUUUCCCUCACACAAAGGAGCUUCACACAUGCUGCAGGUGCUGAUACUACAAACGUCUGACUGUAAUCCACACAUCAGCCUGAGAGCACACCAGUCCUGGGAGAGAUUGCCUCCAGCAGUCGUUUCAAGCCUGGUUAGAGGAGCAGAAUGGAAGCAUCAGCUAAAGCGAUGAAAGUUACAUUUUCUAAUAAUGGAAAUGAGAUGGAAAUGUUGGGCAGCUGCUAGGGGUUUCCUCUAUUAUCUGAUUUUUUAAAAAUAAUACUG